CACCCAUGUGCAUCUUGAUAGAUCAUGCUCCGUUAUCUUACCCCCUUUCUACUGUCGGAAUCGAGGUUCUUACCCCCUUUCUACUGUCGGAAUCGAUACCACGACAACCCCAUCCCGACACGGAGCACAACGCGAGUCCGCCACCGCGUCAGCCGACUCCACCCCGACACCACGAGACGGAGCCCACCAUGAAUCCCUCGCCACUUCGACUUCUAGAGCAUCAACGGACUACAAAGCAGAAGAGAGCACCAAGGAAGAACCCCCCUCCUACCAAAAAGAAGUUGGCUUAUGAGAUGACCGAGGAGGAAAUCAACGCCCAAACGACAUCUGAAUUGAAGGCCCAUUUUGGACUGAAACCGCCCCCACCGCCAAAGGAGAUAGUACCUCUGAAAACCGUACAUUGUGUUUUGGAGAAUCUUGCUAAACCGCCUCCGGAGAGAAUGCGAUCAGACUAUGAACGCUCAAUUAGCAAUUCAUAUCAUCCACAACAAAAAAUAUGUCAAGCGGUAGUAAGAAAAGCGGGAAAAGUGUUCCCCAGCUAGGAGAACAGGCAGUGCAAUCGAUCCCGCCGCUCAAGGUGAGUACCAAAGUAACUGACGCUGCUGUUAGAGAGAUGGCUAGAGAGGCCAGUGUCAUUGUUGAAUAACUCCUAGGCACCGAGGAAAUGCCAGGGUGGAAUUGGAGGCACUAGCAUGGAAAUAUGUUGUCGGGAACCUCUGUUCGGGCCUGAGGAGGUACCGCUUCUACCAACACAAAUGUACAAAUUGCAUAACUGGUACCUAAGGGAAAUAAAAGUCGGGUGACACAGCCUCAUGGUGAAAGUCAAGCCAGAGCAUUUCUUCCAUGAAAAAUAUUUGUGGAUUGAGUUUCCAGAAUAGUUUCAGUUAUUCAAUCAAGACACACUCGAUGAAACAGAGGAGAACUUGUAUAAAUUAUUGAAGGUUCCAGAGAAUCCUUCUAAUCAUUAGUGUUGACGAGGGAAAAGUUGAAGUACUGGACUCACUAAAUAAAAACCCUGAAGAGUACAAGAACCCGAAAUUGAUGCUCGACAGGGUUUUGACACGGUUCACCUAAGAGAUUGUCGGUAAAUGGAAAAAGGAGCUGACAUGGAAAUGACCCAGGGUAAUUAAGUAGUACUAGCUAGUGGUGCAUGCAGCAGGAAUAGGGGACUAAUCUAUGUUCAUACUAUGUUUGCGAGGACAUUCGCUUUAUGACCAAACGGCGCACAAAUAAAAGACAUCUUUGGAUACGUAAACACUAUUCACAUUUUUUAUCAUGAUCUAAUAUACAUACACACAACUUAUAUAUUCAUAUUGGUCUCCUUCUUUAAAGAUGACGUAGAUGCGGGAUAGCCUCCUAGCAAAGGACCGCAUAUGAGCACUUUAAGAGGAAAUGGCGGGAUUUUUUACUUGAGCAGGUCACAUCUUCAAACGGAGAAUACCACUACAACUAAUGACUGCAUGUAAUGAUCUGUAAGUUAUAGGAGAAAUUUUAUAUACCAAAUUGUGUAUAUAUAUAUAUGUGUGUGUGUGUGUGUGUGUGUGUGGUCGUAUGAGAAAUUCUAUGAUAUAUGAUUGGU